UACACAAUAUGUAUAUGCAUGUAUGUGUGUGCAUCGUGUUUCCAUGGUCAGCCAUUAUGUUUUAUGUAUUCCUUCGGACUUUCAAAAUUGCUAUAUAUUUAUAUGUGAAUAAUUAAUAAUCUUGCAUAUAUAUAUAUAUAUAUAACAUAUUUAUAUCGUUUUUCUCAUCCUCCCCCUCUUUUAGGAAAAAAAAAAAAAAAAAAAGCAAUAAAAAAAAAGCAGACAACCAUAGCAGCAAUGAUGAUAAAAAAAAAAAUAAACAUGCUAAUAAAAAACAUACGUCAAGUAAAUAUGAAGAAAAAGACAAAUUAAAUAUAUUAAGCAAAAAAGAUGACAUAAAUAAUAAACAAAAAAUAAAAAAAGAAUUGAACAAAAACGAAACAAAUAAAACAAAGGAUAUAAAAAACAAAACAAAACAAAAAGAAACGGAAAACGAAAAUAAAAAUAGUGACGACGACAAGGAAGAAAAAAAAAAAGAGAGCAAAGGUUCAGAAGAAAGAAGGGUUUACAUUCAUUUAGAAAGCCCAUUAUCAAUUUUAACAUGUGGAGGAUUGAUAAGCUCUAAAAAACUAAUUGAAGCUCAAACCGUUUUAAUUGAAAACAAUAAAAGAUUAGAAAAGGCAAAAAAUAACUGUUCUGUAAACAAUACCAAGACAAAAGAUGUAGAUAAUAAUAGCUGUGAAAAAGAAGAAAAGGAACAUAAUAAAAAAAACAAGAAAAAAACAAACUCUUUUUUAUUUUCAAACUCCUUGGCAGUUGAAGUAGACCUCAGUAGUUGUUUUUUUUUUCAUUCUUCUUUUACUUGUCCUAUAAGUCGCGACAGGUCAACAAAAACAAACCCACCUUAUUUAUUAACUUGUGGCCACGCAAUUUGCAAGUAAGAACAUUGAGUAUAUAUAUGUAUAUUUAAAAAUAUUUAAUUUUUUAAAAAAAAGAUAUAAUAGUACAUUAUGUUUUUCAUAUAUGAGCACAUGCAAUUUUUUUUUUUUUUUUUUAUUCACCCAAUUUUUAGAAAUUGUUUAGACAAAAUUCACAUUCAAAAAUCCAGACAAUUCAAAUGUCCCAUGUGUCCUAAGUAUUUAUUUUUAUCUGAUGUAAGAACAAUUAAAUUUUUUUUUUAAAAAUAAUAUCGUGUAUAUGUAUAUA
ensembl:lncRNA